rnacentral:lncRNA from 1 species
CAAUCAACACCUACUUGGCCAAUGGCCUACAACUCUUUAAAUAGGAAAAACAAUCCUUGGAAAGCAAGGAAACCUAAACCUAGACCAAUUCUAAUGAAAAUAGAAAACAUAAUUCGAAAUUAAAAUAACCCUAAAAUAGAAAUACCCUAAAACACCUAAAAACACCAAUUAAACAUAAACCUAAAUAUCCCCAAUAAUUCUAAAAACAUAUAGUAGCAAUCUUGGCACAAAUUAGGGGUUUUAAACCCUAGAAUGCAUCAGCUCUCCCCGGGUUCGAAAAAGUUCGUCCACGAACUUGAAUAUUUCAAAUUCACCAAAACAAGUAGUAUUUGCACGUUGGUGCUGCAAGCUCGAACUUGGCCUAUGUAAAUCAAUGAGUCUACCUCGAAUUCUUCCCAAAAAUCUGCUCACUCUCAUAAGAAGCAAUAGCCCAAAAAGUUGAAUUCUUCCACGAACUUUACUUGCAUAAAAAUCAAAUUUUAAGAACCUCACAAAACAAUGAUACUUGAAACACAAAAUCCCCAACUGUUUUUCAUGAAAAGAAGGAACAUGUUGCUGAAAAUUGGCUAAAAAAGUUUCCCAAAUCGGAUCAACACAUACGCCAAAUUCUUUAAAAAACACAUCAUCAACAACAUCUAGGGAUUCUUCCUCAAAGAGCGGGAAAAAUUCAUUCAAUUCGAAUGUUUUUGAACUAUGGAACUUGGUUCUUGUAACCUCCUCUUUCUCGGCAAAGAUAUCAAAAAAAUCACUUAAAUAUCGACAUCCUUGUUUUGUAAACUCUUCUAUGGAUUCUUUGUAAACCUGACGCGCAUGACAUGUAGCUUCGAAUUCUUCUUGUGAUAUGCAAGGCCUAGUUGAAAGAAGAACAAAUUUCUUACCUUUCCAUAGAAUACUAUAACCAUUAUGUUGCACAUUAAACGUUGCAUCCGUUUCUAAUGUCCAUGGAUUUCCCAACAAAAGAUGACAUGCAUCCGUGUCGACUAUAUUACACCACACCUGAUCAACAAUAUCUCCAAUGGAAAACUCAACCAAACAAUUGUUUUCAACCACUUCCAAUUGUAAUUUCUCAACCGCUAGUUUUGAAAUAAAAUUAACAUUAUGUUUAGGGUCGAUUCAAAAGAACACAACUUGCCUCCAAUAGUACACAAAGAACGAAAAGCAUGAUCCUGAAUCCAAUCCUUAUACCAAUUCUCCAUUUAAUGUAAACUAAUACCAACGAACAUGACCAAGGAAAAAAAAUUUAUUUUUUUUCUGCGAUGACCAAUAAACAAUGAACAGUAACUCGAUUUUUUUUUUUUUUUUUUUUAAAUACCUCCAACAAAGCAGCGGAAGACUUUGAAAAGAGCGGUGGCAGCGGCAGCAACAGCACUUGAAACAACGAUGAAGAUGAAAAAAAUUCAGGAUUUUUGAGAACUUAGAAGCCUCAAAACCUUGCUCUGAUUACCAAUUUGAUGCAGUCGUGCAUAAAGAUAUGUACUUUGAACCGAAUUCAAAGAACUACGACGAUUUUCGGGAUUCGACAACCAAUGUUCUUAACCAAGAACUCACACAAAGAGAAGACUCUUCUCAAAACACACAAUUCAAUUAACCAAUCAACACCUACUUGGCCAAUGGCCUACAACUCUUUAAAUAGGAAAAACAAUCCUUGGAAAGCAAGGAAACCUAAACCUAGACCAAUUCUAAUGAAAAUAGAAAACAUAAUUCGAAAUUAAAAUAACCCUAAAAUAGAAAUACCCUAAAACACCUAAAAACACCAAUUAAACAUAAACCUAAAUAUCCCCAAUAAUUCUAAAAACAUAUAGUAGCAAUCUUGGCACAAAUUAGGGGUUUUAAACCCUAGAAUGCAUC